UACGUAGGAUGCAAGCGUUGUCCGGAAUUAUUGGGCGUAAAGAGCGCGCAGGCGGUUUUACAAGUCAGAUGUGAAAUAUCCGGGCUUAACCCGGAGGGGUCAUUUGAAACUGUGAGACUAGAGUACAGCAGAGGAUAGCGGAAUUCCCGGUGUAGUGGUGAAAUGCGUAGAUAUCGGGAGGAACACCGGUGGCGAAGGCGGGUCUCUGGGCCGAUACUGACGCUGAGGAGCGAAAGCGUGGGGAGCGAACAGG
rnacentral:rRNA from 1 species